GAGAUAUUUAAACAGAGAUGAGAUGUGAAGUUUAUGUCAGGGUUGAAGGGGAUGCGAUUUUCUACAUUAUUGAAGCAUUGCAUCACAGCUUUCAUCAGCAGUGUGAACAACACGCCACAGUCCCGCAGACCUUCCCAUCUGCUCGCAGUCUUCAUCUCCCAACAUGUGAAAUCGGACACUUACUUUCCCAGGCCGUCCCAAACAGUCUUAUCUGCACUUCCAGCUGUCAAUAUAACACGAUACAAUACAUUCACGCGCGAUUCAAACUUAACAGCAGCAACUGGCUCCACAAGUUCAGAAGAUCGACAUCGAUAAAAGUCUCCGUUUAAGAAAACAUACGAGAAGAAACUCGGACGGAGGGCGGGAGGAAAGGGAAAGCCAGAGGGGUGUUUUCUCUUCACGAGGGGAAGGACUAAAAUAGUGAGAAAUAAUUCAUUAAACAGCGUGAAAUGUCUAAAUACAUUGACUUUUAGCUUACAGUCGCGAUGUCGACAUCAGUUUUGCGAUAAAAGCAAACCACCCACAGUAACAUGAGCAUAAGGAGAAAGAUUCUUAGCCUUAGUGAUCUGCAGACAUGCUCUUUACUGCAGCUGAAAGCGCUCAGGGCCUCGCUGAAUGAGGACAUUCAAGACUUGAGCUCAGAAUUGGUGAAACAUCUCGUAGUACGGGACCACCUUCAGACUAAGCAAGAUGCUUUGCUCCUGGAUGUACAGGAUAUGACAUCAUUAUGAACGAUUUUUGUUUUGAACACUGCGGAACUGCAGUUUAACGUUGGCACUUUCUGAAAGCAGUAAUUUACUGUUACUCAUCCUGUGGACUAACAAAGGCCAGAAUAUCUUGUUUUUUCUUGAAGAAAUGUAGCCCUCUCAGAAACUUUUGUUAAAAUGUGAGUCACAUUGAUUAUAGUCACAAGUUUUAUUGUGGAAAAAAGUGCCUUAUAACGAACCCUAAUGACUCUGAUUCAUAUGUCACUUACGGUUUAAUUUUGCUUUCAUAAAUAGAGAAUAUAUUAAGCUGCUGUCAAAGCCAUAUGUGAUAUAACUGUGAUGUAUUAAUCAUCAGUUAUGCUACUUUAAGCAUUCCAUUGAAAUACAUUAUAUGUAAUCGUCAUGAAAAUAUAAACGUGUGCAUUCUUAUGAAUGUGCCUUACAACUUUCUUGUGUAUCAAACUUAUACAUGAGACUGAAGUAUAUCUCAGUGCUAAAUAUUCACAAUUUAAUAAAUAAUUUGUUUUAUAUCUUAUACACAGUCAUUAGCCUUUUUUGUGGAACUGGAAAAGCAGUUAUGGCAUACAUACUCUGCAUUAAAAAAUACUUAAGGUCCUUUUGUGUUUCUUCGGAUUGCUAGACAACCUCUUGAAGAUGCCUCAAAUAUCCCAGAAAGGAAUUAUAGAUUAAAGUGCACAUUGUAUAUUAUGUGUAUUGUAUAUAUUAUAUAUUAUGCAUUUGUAUGAAAGACACUUUUAGCAGAAUAAAUGUGUAAUUUGACUUUCU
ensembl:lncRNA